GCCUGGUGUGGUGGCGCAUGCCUGUAAUCCCAACAGCUCAGGAGGCUGAGACAGGAGGAUCCCAAGUUCAAAGCCAGCCUCGGCAAAAAAAAAGCAAAGCACUAAGCUACUCAGUGAGACUCUGUCUCUA
rnacentral:sRNA from 1 species